rnacentral:rRNA from 1 species
AUACGGAGGACGCGAGCGUUAUCCGGAUUCAUUGGGUUUAAAGGGUGCGCAGGCGGCCGUGCAAGUCAGCGGUGAAAGCCCGGGGCUCAACCCCGGAAGUGCCGUUGAUACUGCAUGGCUGGAAUGCGGUCGAGGCGGGCGGAACGUGGCGGGGAGCGGUGAAAUGCGUAGAUAUGCCACAGAAAGCCGAUAGCGGAGGCAGCUCGCCAGGCCUGCAUUGACGCUUGGGCACGAAAGCGUGGGGAUCGAACAGGAUUAGAUACCCUGGUAGUCCACGCCGUAAACGAUGGGCGCUCGUCGUCGGCGGCAGACAGUCGGCGGCCAAGCGAAAGCGAUAAGCGCCCCACCUGGGGAGUACGGUCGCAAGGCUGAAACUCAAAUGAAUUGACGGGG